rnacentral:ncRNA from 1 species
AGUUAAUUGCAUGGGUACUGUUCCUUUUGGAACGGUUGAGAAAUACCAUUUGAACCUGUCAGUUAACACUGUAGGAGGGAGCAAGAUUUUUUUGGAA